rnacentral:rRNA from 1 species
UACGUAGGGCGCAAGCGUUAUCCGAAUUUACUGGGCGUAAAGGGUCGCGUGGGCGGCCGUUCACAUCUCACUUUAAAUGGCGAGGCUUAACCUCGUCUUCGGUGAGAGAUGGAAUGGCUAGAGGAAUGGUGGGGUUUCCGGAACUUCCGGUGUAGCAGUGAAAUGCGUUGAUAUCGGAAGGAACACCAAGAGCGAAGGCAGGAAACCAACCUUCUCCUGACGCUGAGGCACGACAGCUAGGGGAGCGAAGCAGAUUAGAGACCUGCGUAGUCCUAGCUAUAAACGCAUGGGUGCUAGAUGGCCCGAUUUAUCGGGCUGUCGCAAGCUAACGCGUUAAGCACCCCGCCUGGGGAGUACGGCCGCAAGGUUGAAACUCAAAGGAAUUGGCGGGGACCCGCACAACCGGUGGAGCAUGUGGUUUAAUUCGAGACGAAGCGAAAGACCUCACCACGGUUUGACAUCUUAUCGUUUAACCCUGAUGAAAGUCGGGGCCAUCCGCAAGGAUGAUAAGAAAGCUGCUGCAUGGCUGUCGUCAGCUCGUACCGUGAGGUGUUCCCUUAAGUGGGGUAACGAGCGCAACCCUCGUCCCGAGUUAUAUUUGUCUCGGGAUACUGCUCCGACAUUUGUCGGGGAGGAAGGUGGGGACGACGUCAAGUCAGCACGGCGCUUAUGCCGUGGGCCACACACAUCCUACAAUGGCGAAAAACAAUGAGGCGCAAGCCGGUGACGGCAAGCAAAUCUCUGAAAUUUCGCCUCAGUUGGGAUUGGAGUCUGCAACUCGACUCCAUGAACUAGGAAUCGGUAGUAAUCGCGAAUCAGCAGGUCGCGGUGAAUACGUUCUCGGGUCU